rnacentral:lncRNA from 1 species
AGAAAUUAACUAACUCAUCCACUCAUACAGAGAAAAGCUAGUACUCUCAGAUCACAUAAGCUGGCAGCCAAUCUCCCAACACAAACAUCAGGACGAGUCUUGCUGCCAGCAUCUCCUGCUUACAUACAUACAUACGACGCUCAAUACAGACAUACCAAACUACAUCAGCACCAUGUUGAACAUUCGCCAUCCAACUCCAGGUGUAUGGCCCAAGCAAGACCAGAGCAACUAGAGAGCAAGCUCAGAUCUGCAGACAUGUAUUGAGUUAGAAACGUGAAGCUACCACAGUUGAUGCAAUGGGAAUCUUUCCUAUCCUAAGUUCUGAAGAAGCAGGCAUGCGCUAAAUUGCAAAGUACAACAUAGCUUAAGAAUAACCGGACAGAAGUGCUUAUUUAUGCCCCCCGCAAGAAUCCCAGAGCCAUCUUAUUGCAGUUCAGAAGGAAUAUACAUAAAAAUUAGCAGACCAUAAACAGGUGAACUCUAUCGUCUGCUCUUGGAAACAGAACAUGUAAAUAAGGAGUGCUCAUAAAUAGACGGCCAAGAGCCUUGAAACAUCAAUUUACAGGUUAUGCAAGCGCGAUAGUCAUUUUCUCUCCUAAGAUAUGGAGCAACAAAUAUUAGCUUUCCAAACUAGUAUGUGUUCUUUUUUUUUUCACCAACGGAGGCCCUCCUAAGAUAUAAUUGUUAAACAUACGUGCAAAAUCAAACAAUGAAUUGGCUGCCUCACCUAGCUAGUUUGACAAGGCAAUCAAGCCCAAUACUAAGUCCACACAUAAACAUGUGAGUAGAACAAGCAAAUUGUCAACAAAAAAUUAAUAUGAUUAGGCUUACCAAUUGAUCAAAUAGCUGGUUCUGAUAACAGCCGUGGGAAGCUAAAAUAGGGGAGAGCAUGUUUGCACUCGAAGAAGUUCUCCAUCUUUGUACAGACCUUGCUAAUUUCAUAAGUCUUGAC